AUGUUACUGAAAAAUCAACCCUGUGGGGAGUGUGCAAAGAAAACUGUGAGGGGUCAGGUGGUUUUACUUUACGGCUACACCCACCAGCACAAUUUUGAGCAGUUUCCCAAAUCCUUUCCUAUCAAUUCCCCUCCAUUCAGUAGAGGGAACCAAAAUGAUCCUUGGGUGAACUUGCUGUUCUUAGUUGCAUCCCUUGGAGGUGCCAAAUCUCAAGUCCAGUUGGUGGAAUCUGGAGGGGACUUGCGAAAACCUGGAGAGUCCAUUCGUAUUUCCUGUCAUGGCUCUGGAUUCACCAUGAGGAGCUACUGGAUGCACUGGGUGAGACAGGCUCCAAUGAAAGGACUGGAAUGGCUUGCAGCCAUGGGUACAACUACAAUUUACUACUCAGACAAAGUCAAGGGACGCUUCACCAUCUCCAGGGACGAUGCCAAAAGCGAGCUAUAUCUGCAAAUGAACAAUCUGAAACUAGAGGACACAGCUGUCUAUUACUGUAUUUUUUUCAUUCUUUUCCAUUAA